GCCCCCAUCGUCUAGUGGCCUAGGACACCGCCCUUUCACGGCGGCAGCACGGGUUCGAAUCCCGUUGGGGGUGCCA
rnacentral:tRNA from 1 species